rnacentral:rRNA from 1 species
UACGUAGUGUGCAAGCGUUGUCCGGAAUUAUUGGGCGUAAAGAGCUCGUAGGCGGUGUGUCGCGUCGGCCGUGAAAACCUGCAGCUUAACUGUGGGCUUGCGGUCGAUACGGGCAUCACUGGAGUUCGGCAGGGGAGACUGGAAUUCCUGGUGUAGCGGUGAAAUGCGCAGAUAUCAGGAGGAACACCGAUGGCGAAGGCAGGUCUCUGGGCCAUAACUGACGCUGAGAAGCGAAAGCAUGGGGAGCGAACAGG